GCGACCCAACUCCGGGAGAGUCUGCCUGAGCGCCCAGUGUCUAAACUCCGGAGGGCCAGAGCUGCUGGCCCGGCGCAGCUGGGGUGCCAGGCUCCGCGCUUCGGCCGGCAGAGUGAGUCUGCCGAGUUCCGCGAACGGAACCGGGAGGAUGUGAGACCUGUCCCUGAAGCCCGUUCGCGCUUCCCUAAUGAAUAGAGGGCAAAACAGCUGGAGAAGCAGUCUUAUUGCUCAAAAGGAAGUGUUGAUACAUCUCGGAGCUUUGAGCGUGGGAGAUGACGGGCCCAGCUUUAUGCCACUUAAAGUGGUAACAUGGUUGAUGGAGAACAGACCAAGGAGACUUCGAUCAGCUCAUUCUUUAAGGGAAGUUUCAGCAAAUGUUCACCAAGAUUAGCCAAUGGGAUUGAGAGGAGAAGACCCUCAAGUAAGUAGUGUGGAAACAGCAGUCAAACUGUGCUCUUGGAAUUUCUUUUUUACUGGUUCAAAUGUAACCCACACAGCAGUGGGUGGGAAAUAGCCCUAAACUGCUACUCCCACCAGGAUUCCCCAGAAAGGAUGUUUAACUCCCAGAGUUAAACCUUAAGGCCUGUGUUUCUACACUGGGGUGAAAAGGCCAAUUUCAGCUCACACCCCAAGAUGGAAGUCACUUUUUCUGCUCAAGAGAACAUAGUUCAAGAUUUCCCUCCUAUUACCACAGAACAAACAGAAAAUAGAACUGCCCAACUAGAGGGAAAAGAGAUUUUAUUGAAGAAAAAGGAAGUAAAUAAAUAAAAAUUCCCAUGUAAUAUGUAACUGAUGUCAGAUUUCUUUGCAGUGCUUAAUUUUAUACUUAAAGGGACUUUGGGGCAGUCAUGUAAAAAGAAUGAUAACUUCCUGGUGGGAAAAAAAAAAGGACUGAAAGUCUAAAUGCAAGAUCCCAAAUAUCCUUGUGCUGGGGAGGUGUCACUACAACAAAAAGAUGUGUUUUGAUUCUACUGAAACACUGAUCACUGUAAGUUUUUACUCAUAAGACAUGGCUAGCAGCAGAGGGAAAACUAGCUCUCAUUUUUAUUCUAUGGAAUGCCUUGACUCUCUCACUGUCUAUCUCUUCCCCUUUCUCUUAUACUUUGCUCUCUCCCUCAGCUUUUUUUUUUCUGUUUUCUCUUUCUCUUCUGUUUCCCUUCGUAUCACUUCUGUCCACUCCCACUUCU
rnacentral:lncRNA from 1 species